rnacentral:rRNA from 1 species
AUUGAACGCUGGCGGAAUGCUUUACACAUGCAAGUCGAACGGCAGCACGGGGCAACCUGGUGGCGAGUGGCGAACGGGUGAAUAAUACAUCGGAACGUGCCCAAUCGUGGGGGAUAACGUAGCGAAAGUUACGCUAAUACCGCAUACGAUCUACGGAUGAAAGCGGGGGAUCGCAAGACCUCGCGCGAAUGGAGCGGCCGAUGUCAGAUUAGGUAGUUGGUGGGGUAAAGGCUCACCAAGCCGACGAUCUGUAGCUGGUCUGAGAGGACGACCAGCCACACUGGGACUGAGACACGGCCCAGACUCCUACGGGAGGCAGCAGUGGGGAAUUUUGGACAAUGGGCGCAAGCCUGAUCUAGCCAUUCCGCGUGCAGGAUGAAGGCCUUCGGGUUAUAAACUGCUUUUGUACGGAGCGAAAAGGCUCUCUCUAAUACAGGGGGCUCAUGACGGUACCGUAAGAAUAAGCACCGGCUAACUACGUGCCAGCAGCCGCAGUAAAAC